UAUGGAGUUUGCCUAAUGUCGAAAUGAUCUAUUAUAGGCAUCUCAACAUGCAAUUUUUCUCUUUGCCAGGAUCCCACAAACAUGGAAGAACUUUUCUAUGAGUUGCUCCAAAAAUAGUUGUAGUAAAUAGAAAAAUAGGGAAUAAAUGAAACGGGAUGCAGGUGAGAAAGGAAGCUGAAACGGAUGCAGGGGUUAGGAAAUUGAAAGAACGCUUAAUGAGACUGAACGGGAUGGGAUGGAUGACACAGUAGUCUGCAGCAAGUUUCU